rnacentral:rRNA from 1 species
UACAGGGGGGGCAAGCGUUGUUCGGAAUUACUGGGCGUAAAGGGCUCGUAGGCGGCCAACUAAGUCGGAUGUGAAAUCCCCAGGCUUAACCUGGGAACUGCAUCCGAUACUGGAUGGCUUGAAUCCGGGAGAGGGAUGCGGAAUUCCAGGUGUAGCGGUGAAAUGCGUAGAUAUCUGGAGGAACACCGGUGGCGAAGGCGGCAUCCUGGACCGGCAUUGACGCUGAGGAGCGAAAGCCAGGGGAGCAAACGGG